rnacentral:rRNA from 1 species
AAAUCAUAUCUUUCAAAUAGCUCUUAUAACGAAGAUCUUUUUAAAGGCGAGAUACUUUAAAUAUCUUCAUUCUAAGGUAAAGAUAGGACGAAUAAAAGCUAGAAUCAAAACGAGGAUAAGCCAAAUAAUACUUAGAGUAGGGUUGAUAUCCGUAGAUACUAAGUGGAAUACUAAAAGUGAAACUAUUUAUCUAGGAAUGAUUGACGCUGAGAAACGAAGGUGAGAAUAGGAA